ensembl:lncRNA
CCCUCCUUCCUGCCCCCCCCCUUCCCUCCCAUUUGUUCGCAUUGCUGCCAGGGCUGCGUGUCACAGCGUGCGCAGCGUGUCACGUGUGCGGUGUGUCAUGUGUGUGCCGUGUGUGCCAUGUGCUGCAUGUCACAGCAUGUGCUGCGUGUCACGUGUGUGCUGUGUGUCAUGUGUGUGCUGCAUGUCACAGUGCGUGCGCCGUGUCACGUGUGUGCAGCGUGUCACGUGUGCUGUGUGUGCCGUGUGCUGCAUGUCACGGUGUGUACCGCAUGUGCCGUGCCUCAUCACUGUGUGCUGCGUGUCACGUGUGUGCUGCGUGUGCCAUGCGCUGUGUCACAGCGUGUGCUGCGUGUGCCGUGCAUCAUCCAUGUGUGCAGUGUGUCACGUGUGUGCUGCAUGUGCUGGGUGCUGUGUGUCACAGAGUGUGCUGCGUGUCACGUGUGUGCUGUGAUUGCUGGGUGCUGUGUAUCAGCAUGUGCUGCGUGUGCAUCAUCCAUGUGUGCUGUGUCACAUGUGUGCUGCAUGUGCCACGCAUCAUCACCGUGUGCUGCAUGUCGUGUGUGUGCUGUGUGUGCCAUGCAUCAUCCAUGUGAGCUGCGCGUCUCAGUGAGCUGUGUGUCACAGCGUGUGCUGUGUGCUGCGUGUCACGUGUGUGCUGCGUGUGCCGUGCAUCAUCACCGUGUGCUGUGUCACAGCGUGUGCUGCGUGUGCCGUGCAUCAUCCAUGUGAGCUGUGUGUCCCAGAGUGUGCUGCGUGUCACUGUGUGUUGCUGCGUGUGCCGUGCGCUGCGUGUCACAUGUGUGUUGCGGGUGCCAUGUGCUGCAUGUCACAGCGUGUGCUGCAUGUUACAGCGUGUGCCGUGUGCUGCGUGUCACGUAUGUGUUGCGUGUGCCAUGCAUCACCAGUGUGAGCUGCGUGUCGCAGCGUGUGCCACAUGCCAUGCAUUGCUGUGUGCCAUGUGCUGCGUGUGCCACGCGUGUGCUGCAUGCCGCGCUGCAUGCUGUGCUGUGUGCUGCAUGUCACCCACGUGUGCCACGUGCCAUGCAUCAUGCCGUGUGGUGUGUGCCAUGCGUGUGCUGCAUGUUGCGGUGCAUGCCCUGCUGCGUGUCAUGUGCCACGUCACGUGUGUGCUGCAUGUCACGUGUGUGCUGCACGCUGGGCCGUGUGUCACAACGCGGGCUGCAUGUCACGUGCUGCGUGUGCUGCAACGUGUGCUGCAUGCCAUGCACUUGGUGCUCCAUGCAUGCUGCUGUGUGUGCCGUGUGCUGCGUGCCAUGUGCUGUGUGCCAUGCAUCAUGCUGUGUUGUAUGUUGUGUGCCGCGUGCCAUGCACCCUGCCAUGUUCUGCGUGCCAUGUGCUUUGUGCCACGUUCUGUGUUCCGUGUGCCGCGUUGCAACGUGUGCUGCGUGUUGUGCAUCGUGUGCCGUGCACCGUGUGCUGCGUGCCACAACACCCGCGUGCCGUGUGUUGCGUGCUGUGUGCUGUGUGCUGCACGCCAUGCAUUGCGUGCCGCGUGCCGUGCACCGUGUGCGCCGUGCUGUGCCGCGUGCUGUGUGUCACACGCAGAUCCGUGCGCCGUUCCGUGUGCUGUUCUGUGUGCCGUGCGCCGUUCCAUGCGUGCUCUUCUGUGUGCUGCUCCAUGCACCAGUCCCUGUGCACCAGUCCAUGCACCAUUCCAUGCACUGUUCCAUGUGCACCAGUCCAUGCACCGUUCUCUGCACCAUUCCAUGCACUGUUCCAUGCACCAUUUCAUGUGCACCAUUCCAUGCACUGUUCCACAUGCACCGUUCCGUGUGCACCAUUCCACGCACCAUUCUGUGCACCAUUCCCUGUGCACCAUUCCAUGCACUGUUCCAUGCACCAUUCCAUGUACGCCAUUCCAUGUGCACCAUUCAGUGUGCACCAUUCCAUGUGCAGCAUUCCAUGUGCAGUGUUCCAUGUGCACCAUUCCAUGCACCGUUCCAUGCACCGUUCCAUGCACCAUUCUAUGCACCAUUCCCUGUGCACCAUUCCAUGUGCACCAUUCAGUGUGCACCAUUCCAUGCACUGUUUCGUGCACCGUUCCAUGCACUGUUCCAUGUGCACCAUUCCAUGUGCACCAUUCCAUGCACCAUUUCAUGUGCACCGUUCCGUGUGCACCGUUCCACGUGCACCGUUCCAUGCCAUUCCGUGUGCACGGUUCCGUGCACGGUUCCGUGUUGCACCCCUUGACCUCUCUCCUCUCUCCCCUCCACAGCACUGGUGCAAAAAGGUGGGUGUGAGAGCACAUGUGUGUGAGAGCACGUGUGUGUAAGAGCACGUGUGUGUGAGAGCACGUGUGUGAGUGUACAUGUGUGAGUGCACAUGUGUUUGGGAGGGUGCGUGUGUGUGAGUGCAGGCAUGUGUGAGUGCAUGUGUGUGUGAAAGCACAUGUGUCUGAGUGCACGUGUGUGAGCAUGUGUGUGUGAGUGCAUGUGUGAGUGCACAUGUGUGUGAGUGUACGUGAGUGCAUGUGUGUGUGAGAACGUGUCUAAUUGCAUGUGUGUGAGAGUAUGUGCGUGAGAGCACAUAUGUGAUAGCACGUGUGUCUGAGUGCACGUGUGUGUAAAAGCAUGUGUGUGUGAGAGCACAUGUGAGAGCACAUGUGUGUGAAUGCAUGUGUGUGAGUGUGUGUGUGGGUGAGCACGUGUCUGCGCAUGUGUGAGUGCACAUGUGUGUGAGUGCACAUGUGUGAGUGCACAUGUGUGUGAGUGCACAUGUGUGAGUGCACGUGUGUGUGAGAGCACAUAUGUGGGUGCACACAUGUGAGUGUGUGAAUCCAUGUGUGUGAGAGCACAUGUGUGUGUGCAUGUGUGUCUGUGUGUGUGUGAGUGCAUGUCUGAAUGCAUGUGUGUGAGUGCACACACGUGUGCGAGUACCCAUCUGUGUGUGUGUGCUCACGUGUGCGUGUGAGUGCAUGCGUCUGUACAUGCAUGUGUGUGCGCACAUGUGUGUGAGUGCACACGUGUGUGUGAGUGCACGUGUGAGUGCGUACAUAUGUGUGUGUGUGUGUGUGUGUGUUCAUGUAUGUAAGUGCACAUGUAUGUGUGCACGUGUGUGAGUGUGCGUGUGCCCCCCAUGUCACACCUCACCCUGCACUACAAUAGGGGCAGCUGUGGGGCACACUGGGAUCUGUGGGGCACACCUGGGGUCUAUGGGGCACACUGGGAUCUGUGGGGAUCUGUGGGGCACACUGGGAUCUGUGGGGCUCAAUGGGAUCUGUGGGGCACACUGACAUCUAUG